UACGGGGGGGGCAAGCGUUGUUCGGAAUUGCUGGGCGUAAAGGGCUCGUAGGCGGCCAACUAAGUCAGACGUGAAAUCCCUCGGCUUAACCGGGGAACUGCGUCUGAUACUGGAUGGCUUGAAUCCGGGAGAGGGAUGCGGAAUUCCAGGUGUAGCGGUGAAAUGCGUAGAUAUCUGGAGGAACACCGGUGGCGAAGGCGGCAUCCUGGACCGGCAUUGACGCUGAGGCGCGAAAGCCAGGGGAGCAAACGGG
rnacentral:rRNA from 1 species